UACGUAGGGUGCAAGCGUUGUCCGGAAUUAUUGGGCGUAAAGAGCUCGUAGGCGGUUUGUCGCGUCUGCUGUGAAAUCCCGAGGCUCAACCUCGGGCCUGCAGUGGGUACGGGCAGACUAGAGUGCGGUAGGGGAGAUUGGAAUUCCUGGUGUAGCGGUGGAAUGCGCAGAUAUCAGGAGGAACACCGAUGGCGAAGGCAGCUCGCUGGGACGGUACUGACGCUGAGGCGCGAAAGCUAGGGGAGCAAACAGG
rnacentral:rRNA from 1 species